CAGCCGCCGCGGUAAUACGUAGGUGGCGAGCGUUGUCCGGAUUUACUGGGCGUAAAGGGCUCGCAGGCGGUUUCUUAAGUCUGAUGUGAAAGCCCCCGGCUCAACCGGGGAGGGUCAUUGGAAACUGGGAGACUUGAGUGCAGAAGAGGAGAGUGGAAUUCCACGUGUAGCGGUGAAAUGCGUAGAGAUGUGGAGGAACACCAGUGGCGAAGGCGACUCUCUGGUCUGUAACUGACGCUGAGGAGCGAAAGCGUGGGGAGCGAACAGGAUUAGAUACCCCCGUAGUCCCUGUCUCUUAUAC
rnacentral:rRNA from 1 species